GAUGAACGCUGGCGGCGUGCCUAAUACAUGCAAGUCGAGCGAACGGACGAGAAGCUUGCUUUUCUGAUGUUAGCGGCGGACGGGUGAGUAACACGUGUAUAACCUACCUAUAAGACUGGGAUAACUUCGGGACACCGGAGCUAAUACCGGAUAAUAUUUUGAACCGCAUGGUUCAAUAGUGAAAGACGGUCUUGCUGUCACUUCUAGAUGGAUCUGCGCUGCAUUAGCUAGUUGGUAAGGUAACGGCUUACCAAGGCAACGAUGCAUAGCCGACCUGAGAGGGUGAUAGGCCACACUGGAACUGAGACACGGUCCAGACUCCUACGGGAGGCAGCAGUAGGGAAUGUUACGCAAUGGGCGAAAGCCUGACGGAGCAACGCCGAGUGAGUGAUGAAGGUCUUCGGAUCGUAAAACUCUGUUAUUAGGGAAGAACAUAUGUGUAAGUAACUGUGCACAUCUUGACGGUACCUAAUAAGAAAGCCACGGCUAACUACGUG
rnacentral:rRNA from 1 species